rnacentral:lncRNA from 1 species
UGAAAUUUAUUAUUAGUUGCUUUCUCUUCCCAUUCCAUCUGCUAUUCCUUUCUUCUCAUCUCGUUCUUAGUUUUCAAUGAAAUUCAAUAAAGAAUAUUUCAUUUGCUGCAAUUUACUACUGUUAUCAUAUUUUAAGCCUUACACCCUAAGUCUUCAGAUUUUAAUAUUUUGAUGCUUUUGUGUGUUGUAAUGGUUGUUCUCUGGCGUAUCUGGCAUAAUUUAGCCGCUUGCUAUGGCCUAAGAGUGAGAUGUUUAUGGUUGAAUAAAAUGGCUUCCCUUUUCAUUCAAUAAAAGAUCUAUUAAAAAUUUAAAAGGCCAACCAGAAUUAUUUUUCUUAACUAUGUAACAAAUGUGUGGUAUAACAUAAUUUUAUUAUAGUACUCCUAGGGUGUGAUAAUAAAAGUGUUGGAUUUUUAUUAUGACCCAUUGAUUCACUGACCCAUCCAUUUUACUAAUUUUUUUCCCUUAACCAGUUAGUAGUUUCAUGCCCCCUUGACCCCUUCUUAGUAGCUUCCAUGCACUAAUUUCAUUUACUAGUACAAAAUAUAUUGGAUAAACUUGACCCGUUUAAUCAUUUAUUUGUUUCUACUUUUGAACGCUUCAUUCCAAAUCCCGCCACAACACGCAGGUUGACGUCAACUUGUUUGAUAGAAAACACAAUCUAAAUCAAACUUUUGUUUAAUCACCGGGUGACAUUGAGUGUUUUGGGGACGUGUCUCUAGAUUAUAGCACUUCAUCACAUUUAUUACGAGUUGUGCGAUUAAUAUUCUUGUUGAAAAGAUAUAUUUAUUUUUACGAAUCGAUUCAAGUACUAAUAUAAUUUAGUUGCUUGUUUUACUAUUAUUACUGCAACUGCUACUAAAGUGGAAUGAGUUAAGAUGUUUAGGCAAAGCUUAUUUGAGCUAGAUUAGGAAGACUAAUGGGCUGGAAGCACUGGAGCUAAUGGAUGGAGUUUUGAGGACGGUCCUAGAACCCAAGUGGUUAUAAUGUUUACUUAUUAUCUUAAUGUAAUAUUCUUAACAUUACAUUCUAUUAUCUAACCUGUACGCCACAAUUUAUUUUGGAUGUGGCUAUUUGC